rnacentral:miRNA from 1 species
UGUAUAUGUAUGUAUGUGUGUGUGUGUGUGUAUAUAUAUACACACACACACACACACAUACACAUACAUA